rnacentral:sRNA from 1 species
AGAUGGCAAGAAAGAAAUUUAGUGGAUUAGAAAUCUCUCUGAUUGUCCUCUUUGUCAUAGUUACUAUAAUAGCUAUUGCCUUAAUUGUUGUUUUAGCAACUAAGACACCUGCUGUUGAUGAAAUUAGUGAUUCUACUUCAACUCCAGCUACUACUCGUGUGACUACAAACCCUUCUGAUUUCGGAAAAUGUCCAAAUGCGUUAAAUGAUCCUGUCAAUGUGAGAAUAAACUGCAUUCCAGAACAAUUCCCAACAGAGGUCUGCAGCAAAAGUCUUUAAUAUUUUUAAUGAAUAUAUACAUUAUUAUAUUAAGAUAAUUGCUGAAUAUUGGAUCAAUCUUAUUUAAUAAAGAUCUAGACAUAAA